GCCCUCGGUGGCUCAGAUGGAUAGAGCGUCUGCCAUGUAAGCAGAAGAUCCCGGGUUCGAGUCCCGGUCGGGGCA
rnacentral:tRNA from 1 species